GAUGAACGCUGGCGGCGUGCCUAAUACAUGCAAGUCGAGCGAACAGACGAGGAGCUUGCUCCUCUGACGUUAGCGGCGGACGGGUGAGUAACACGUGGAUAACCUACCUAUAAGACUGGGAUAACUUCGGGAAACCGGAGCUAAUACCGGAUAAUAUAUUGAACCGCAUGGUUCAAUAGUAAAAGACGGUUUUGCUGUCACUUAUCGAUGGAUCCGCGCCGCAUUAGCUAGUUGGUAGGGUAACGGCUUACCAAGGCAACGAUGCGUAGCCGACCGGAGAGGGGGGUCGGCCACACUGGAAGUGAGACGCGGACCAGACUCCUACGGUAGGCAGCAGUAGGGAAUCUUACGCAAUGGGCGAAAGCUUGACGGAGCAACGCGGCGUGAGUGAUGAAGGUCUUCGGAUCGUAAAACUCUGUUAUUAGGGAAGAACAAAUGUGUAAGUAACUAUGCACGUCUUGACGGUACCUAAUCAGAAAGCCACGGCUAACUACGUG
rnacentral:rRNA from 1 species